CUCAUGCCAAUAAAAAGACCUGAAAAUCACCUAGCCCUCACAUUUCUAGCCAGAAGAAAGAGGGACAUGGAAAGACAGUCUCAUACAUGCAAUUGUGUGAAGAACAAGUUCAAAAUGAACAGGCUUUGGAAUGCCUUUUUUUAAGCGUCAUUAUUUUUCUAAGCCUCUAGACUGAGUUUCACCAGCACAAGAGGUAAAGAUUUUAUAUGUCAGUGUUUCCAAUCCACUUCAAAAUUUCUCAAAGCAAUGACAGUAUGUAAGCAUCAAUGGAGCUCUAUCGUUUGGAGAUCACAAGUCUGGACAUUUUACUAUCUUCUAGAUUCAUUUCAGCACUCCCAGAGUAUUGGAGGAAACAAAAUUGUAAAUAAACUGAAGAACCCCUGUGGUGACACCAUGCACCUUUACAGACAAGGAGGAGAGUUAUUCAACUGCCACUGAACAACUCUGGCUGCAACACAGCUGCUAAGAGUUCUUUAUGUUGAUAUUCAGCAUAGAGAACUUUGGGCUGCAGGAGGUCAUAGAAAAUAGGAUCAUUGCAGCAGAAAUAGUUGAAUCACUCCUGAAACUGUUUAUGCUCUUGUCUUAUUCCUCAUAUCUCCACCAACAGAUCUAUGUUUGGUCAUAAUCAGACUGGAUUAAGAGAAAAAUCAAUUUAAUAGUAAAACUUCAC